GAACUCGAUUCGGCAGUACGUAAACUAAAAUUGGAACGAAACAGAGAAGAUUGGCAUGGCCCUUGCGCAAGGAUGACACGCAAAAUUGUGAAGCGUUCCACAUUUUU